rnacentral:rRNA from 1 species
AUUGAACGCUGGCGGCAGGCCUAACACAUGCAAGUCGAGCGGAUGAAGGGAGCUUGCUCCUGGAUUCAGCGGCGGACGGGUGAGUAAUGCCUAGGAAUCUGCCUGGUAGUGGGGGAUAACGUCCGGAAACGGGCGCUAAUACCGCAUACGUCCUGAGGGAGAAAGUGGGGGAGCUUCGGACCUCACGCUAUCAGAUGAGCCUAGGUCGGAUUAGCUAGUUGGUGGGGUAAAGGCCUACCAAGGCGACGAUCCGUAACUGGUCUGAGAGGAUGAUCAGUCACACUGGAACUGGGACACGGUCCAGACUCCUACGGGAGGCAGCAGUGGGGAAUAUUGGACAAUGGGCGAAAGCCUGAUCCAGCCAUGCCGCGUGUGUGAAGAAGGUCUUCGGAUUGUAAAGCACUUUAAGUUGGGAGGAAGGGCAGUAAGUUAAUACCUUGCUGUUUUGACGUUACCAACAGAAUAAGCACCGGCUAACUUCGUG